GGGCUUAUGUGAAGAGAAAGAUCAGGAGCAGUUGUUGAGGUAGGCUCAAUGAAAAUCCCCUCCAAGGUCAUCUUCUUUAUGGGAUAGCUUGAUGCUCACAAUAUAUAUAUAUAUAUAUAUAUAUAUAUAUAUAUAUAUAUCAAAUAUACCUUUCCUUUUCCUUUAUUAAAAUGGCAUCAGAUUUUGACACUGGUGAGGAGGAUAAGCUGUGUGUGUAAUAUACAAUCCCUUUGUUCUCUUUUGAGUUUUGAAUUUUCAGUCUUUCCCAAGAAAAGAAUCUGGAAAGCUUACUAGGAAGAAGUGGUGAAAAAGAGAAAAAGGGAGAGAAGAAGUAGAACUGAAAAACAAAGAUGGUGGUGAAGAGAGGAAUGGAAUUUGAAAAGGUAAUUGAAUGAAUAAAAUUGGAAAAAAAGAAAUCCAG
rnacentral:lncRNA from 1 species